rnacentral:lncRNA from 1 species
AUUGAAGCAAACUUAAUCAAAUUAAUUGACUUGAAAUAAAUCAACCUUUGAUAAUUCAUUGUAAAGGUUCUAGAAGUAUCUUUACUCGAGUGCGGAGUGGCAGAUCGGAUCUUUUUAUCUAUUGGACUUCGAUCCGUGAUGCCUUUCUAUGACUUCAAUCAUUAAUUACUUUGAACCGAUGUCGCAAAACUCAAUCCAUAGAUCUAGGUACUUUUCAUCAGAUUCUUAUUGAAUUUAUCAACUUUUAUGUGAGGUCUAAUAUGACAAUCGGACGUCUCACAUCUUUUAUCCAUGAGGUCCAAUCCAAAGAUCAGGUGUCUCAUAAUCUUUAUCCAUGAGGUCCAAUCCAGAGAUCAGAUAUCUCACAAUUUUUUUAUCUAUGAGGUCAAAUUCGGAGAUCGGGUGUCUCAUAUUUUUAUUUGUGAAGUCCAAUCUGAAGGUCGGAUGUCCACAUCUUUUAUUUGUAAGGUCCAAUCCAGAGAUCGGGUGUCUUACCUCAGGUUAUUUUGAUUUGGUUGGGAUUGUUAUAGCCUUAAUUCAGCUCUUUUCGACCUCAUUUGGAUACUUAUUUUUUUUUCUCAUCCUUGUUUGGUCGGACU